ensembl:ncRNA Y57G11A.225 ncRNA
CGAACGCCCGUCUCCGCCGUCCCCCGCGCAAGCGCAAGAGCGCAACGGAAUUAGGCGGAGUGUGGGGAGAGAGCACGCGUCGAGGUGGAGACGCAGACAAAUAUACAUUCUCCGGUUGAAGAGGA